rnacentral:rRNA from 1 species
AGGACGAACGCUGGCGGCGUGCUUAACACAUGCAAGUCGAGCGGAAAGGCCCUUCGGGGUACUCGAGCGGCGAACGGGUGAGUAACACGUGAGUAAUCUGCCCCUAGCUCUGGGAUAGCUCCGGGAAACCGGGAUUAAUACCAGAUACGACCACUUUAGACAUCUGCUGUGGUGGAAAGAAUUUCGGCUAGGGAUGAGCUCGCGGCCUAUCAGCUUGUUGGCGAGGUAACGGCUCACCAAGGCGACGACGGGUA